GUGUAACAUCUAGCUAGGUUUAUCAUGGUGUUAUAGACUGAUGGUUAAAUGACAGGUGUAACACCUAGCUAGGUUUAUCAUGGUGUUAUAGACUGAUGGUUAAAUGACAGGUGUAACACCUAGCUAGGUUUAUCAUGGUGUUAUAGACUGAUGGUUAAAUGACAGGUGUAACACCUAGCUAGGUUUAUCAUGGUGUUAUAGACUGAUGGUUAAAUGACAGGUGUAACAUCUAGCUAGGUUUAUCAUGGUGUUAUAGACUGAUGGUUAAAUGACAGGUGUAACAUCUAGCUAGGUUUAUCAUGGUGUUAUAGACUGAUGGUUAAAUGACAGGUGUAACACCUAGCUAGGUUUAUCAUGGUGUUAUAGACUGAUGGUUAAAUGACAGGUGUAACAUCUAGCUAGGUUUAUCAUGGUGUUAUAGACUGAUGGUUAAAUGACAGGUGUAACAUCUAGCUAGGUUUAUCAUGGUGUUAUAGACUGAUGGUUAAAUGACAGGUGUAACAUCUAGCUAGGUUUAUCAUGGUGUUAUAGACUGAUGGUUAAAUGACAGGUGUAACAUCUAGCUAGGUUUAUCAUGGUGUUAUAGACUGAUGGUUAAAUGACAGGUGUAACAUCUAGCUAGGUUUAUCAUGGUGUUAUAGACUGAUGGUUAAAUGACAGGUGUAACAUCUAGCUAGGUUUAUCAUGGUGUUAUAGACUGAUGGUUAAAUGACAGGUGUAACAUCUAGCUAGGUUUAUCAUGGUGUUAUAGACUGAUGGUUAAAUGACAGGUGUAACACCUAGCUAGGUUUAUCAUGGUGUUAUAGACUGAUGGUUAAAUGACAGGUGUAACAUCUAGCUAGGUUUAUCAUGGUGUUAUAGACUGAUGGUUAAAUGACAGGUGUAACAUCUAGCUAGGUUUAUCAUGGUGUUAUAGACUGAUGGUUAAAUGACAGGUGUAACAUCUAGCUAGGUUUAUCAUGGUGUUAUAGACUGAUGGUUAAAUGACAGGUGUAACAUCUAGCUAGGUUUAUCAUGGUGUUAUAGACUGAUGGUUAAAUGACAGGUGUAACAUCUAGCUAGGUUUAUCAUGGUGUUAUAGACUGAUGGUUAAAUGACAGGUGUAACAUCUAGCUAGGUUUAUCAUGGUGUUAUAGACUGAUGGUUAAAUGACAGGUGUAACAUCUAGCUAGGUUUAUCAUGGUGUUAUAGACUGAUGGUUAAAUGACAGGUGUAACAUCUAGCUAGGUUUAUCAUGGUGUUAUAGACUGAUGGUUAAAUGACAGGUGUAACAUCUAGCUAGGUUUAUCAUGGUGUUAUAGACUGAUGGUUAAAUGACAGGUGUAACACCUAGCUAGGUUUAUCAUGGUGUUAUAGGUUUAAUAGCACUGUAUUAGGUUCUGUAUGGUGUUAGUGUGACAUUAGUAGGGCAUACAGGAGCUGCAAGGUAUCAGGUCACGUCCUCGCAGGAUUACCACUGCUCUGAGACCUGUUCUCAGCUUAACACAGUUUCCAUGGCCACGUCAUCCCCCACUUUAGACUGCGGCACCCUGGAAAAUCGAGAUUCCUGAAGUAGGGCUUUGAUGUGGGAGUGAGUAUUUGAUUUGGUUAUUAGAAUUUUAUAUUGGUGGAGUUGAAUAGAGUUAUUCUAAUCUGAUGUUGUCUAGUAAAUUAUCUCUAAUGUCUGGCGUGAAGUCAUAAAGAGACUAGAAUGUCUGGGAGAAACCUGUGAUGUCACAAGUAGACUAUAAUCUCUUGAAGACCUCACAUCUGUGAUGUCAUAAAGAUGAAAUAAUGUCUGGAGAAUACUUGAUACUGUGAUUUUAUAAAGAGUAGAAUCUCUGGGAAAGACCUCUGAUGUCAUGAAGACACUAGAAUAUCUUGGAGACCUGCAAUGUCAUAAAUAGAAUCUCUGUGAUGUCAUGAGAGAGUAGAAUAUCUGGGGAAGACCUGUGAUGUCAUAAGUAGACUAGAAUGUCUGGAGAGGAACUCUGUGAUGUCAUAAAGAGAAUAGAAUGUCUGAGGGAAGACCUCUGAUGUCACAGACAAAGACAGUAGUAGUAGAAUGUCUGGUGAAUGUUGUCAGGAUGUCAAAAAGAAUGGAGCAGCCUCGUGGGAAGUCCAGUGUUUAGGACCUUUCAGUUUGACUGUUGUGACCCACCUUCAAUACAGUCUUUGUACAAACACCUAGACCUUAUCAACUAGCCAGUAAGGACUGUCCGUUGUUCCUCUGCCCGGCGAUUAGUAUUGGCUAUAGUGGCCCAUGGCUGGGCAGAACCAUCCAGUCCCUGCUGACUGGAGUUAGGGGGGUAUGUGAGGGCUAAGCCCCCAGGAUGAAGCAGUCUGGCUGGGGGAACAGGGUUCAGCGCAAGCCUUUCAACCUCCAGACUUGGCAUCAAUCUGGGAGUGGCCGCUGUUAAAUGGUUGUGUGUGCGUCUUUUGUCAGUUUGUCUUUGUGGGAUUGUUGUUGCGGUGUGGCUUUGACUGUGUGUGUGUGUGUGUGUUUUGGUGCUGUAUGUGUCUGUUAUAUUUAUGCCGUGUGUGUGUGUGUGGUGAUAAUGCCAGCUGUUUGAUACUCAGUACCCAGGGGGUGUGGCCAGAGCGAGAGCUAAAUUUACUGGUAAUCACAUGAAAGGGCAAUGAGGAGGAGGAGGGGGGAGGGGUGUAUCCCACUCAUCUCUCUUGAU